rnacentral:rRNA from 1 species
GAAAGUAAGAAAGGGCGUAUGGCGGAUGCCUAGGCUCACGGAGGCGAUGAAGGACGUGAUAAGCUGCGAUAAGCUUCGGGUAGGUGCAAAUAACCCUUGAUCCGGAGAUUUCCGAAUGGGACAACCUAGCCGUCUGAAGGACGGUUACUAGCACUUAAGUGUUAGAGCUAACGCAGGGAACUGAAACAUCUUAGUACCUGCAGGAAGAGAAAAUAAAUGAAUGAUUCCCCCAGUAGUGGCGAGCGAACGGGGAACAGCCCAAACCGUUGACGUCGCAAGGCGUCAGCGGGGUUGUAGGACCGCGACAUUGUAUGCAAAUCGUGAACAGAACACUUUGGAAAAUGUGACCAUAGACGGUGAUAGUCCAGUAUGUGAAGCGAAAUGCAGCAUAGCGGUAUCCUGAGUAACGCGGGACACGAGGAAUCCUGCGCGAAUCUGCCGGGACCAUCCGGUAAGGCUAAAUACUCCCGUGAGACCGAUAGCGAACGAGUACUGUGAAGGAAAGGUGAAAAGAACCCCGAGCAGGGGAGUGAAAUAGUUCCUGAAACCAUACGCCUACAAGCGGUCGGAGCAUCUUACGAUGUGACGGCGUGCCUUUUGCAUAAUGAUCCUACGAGUUACCGUCACUGGCGAGGUUGAGUGUCAUGAGACACGUAGCCGCAGUGAAAGCGAGCCUGAAUAGGGCGCAUAGUCAGUGGGGGUAGACGCGAAACCAAGUGAUCUACACUUGGCCAGGAUGAAGUCCCGGUAACACGGGAUGGAGGUCCGCACCAAUAAGCGUUGAAAAGCUUCUGGAUGAGCCGAGUGUAGGAGUGAAAGGCCAAUCAAACUUGGAGAUAGCUCGUACUCCCCGAAAGGCAUUUAGGUGCCGCGUCGGAUGGUCACCGUGAGAGGUAGAGCGACCGAUAGGACAAGAGGGCUUCACCGCCUAUCGAGUCCUGACGAACUCCGAAUGCUCACGGUCUGCAGUCCGGCAGUAAGGGGGCGGGUGCUAAGGUCCGUCCCCGAGAGGAGAAGAAUCCAGACCGCCGUCUAAGGUCCCGGAGUUCUGCCUGAGUUAGUCUAACGAAGUCUGGUCCCUAUGACAGCUAGGAUGUUGGCUUGGAAGCAGCCAUUCAUUCAAAGAGUGCGUAACAGCUCACUAGUCGAGGGUCCGGGCAUGGAUAAUAAUCGGGUAUAAGGCAGACACCGAAGGCGCGGGAUAGCAUUUAAGAAAGUAUCGGUAGGGGAGCAUACUCACAGCGUCGAAUGGUGUACGUAAGUUAUCCUGGAGCGGUGAGUAAAGCAAAUGUAGGAAUAAGUAACGAUAAGGAGGGUUAGAUUCCCUCCCGCUGUAAGACCAAGGUUUCCCGGGCAAUGCCAAUCAGCCCGGGGUCAGUCGGGUCCUAAGUCUAAGCCGAACGGCGAUGGCGAUGGCAGAGACGGUUAAUAUUCCGUCACUGCCGCAUGGGGCGACGUGGAGACGGAGCAGUGAAACCACCGCGGGGCGACGGAAGUCCCCGUUGAAGAGUGUAGGUGUUGAGGAUGGCAGGCAAAUCCACCGUCCGAGCUGAACUUGAUAGUAUGGAGUCUUCUUCGGAAGAAUCCAAUAGUGUGGGUAAUCAUACUCCCGAGAAAAUCCGCUAAGCUUAACCCAUGCGGCACCCGUACCGCAAACGGACACACGUGGUCGGGUAGAACAUACUAAGGCGUUGAGAGAUUCAUGGUUAAGGAACUAGGCAAAUUGACCCUGUAACUUCGGGAUAAAGGGUCCUCGUGAUGAGCGAGGCGCAGAGAAUAGGUCCAGGCAACUGUUUAACAAAAACACAGGGCUGUGCAAACUCGAAAGAUGACGUAUACAGCCUGACACCUGCCCGGUGCCGGAAGGUUAAGAGGAGAUGUCACACUUAUGUGGAAGCAUUGAAUUGAAGCCCCGGUAAACGGCGGCCGUAACUAUAACGGUCCUAAGGUAGCGAAAUUCCUUGUCGGGU